rnacentral:rRNA from 1 species
UACGGAGGGUGCGAGCGUUAAUCGGAAUUACUGGGCGUAAAGCGCACGCAGGCGGUUUGUUAAGCUAGAUGUGAAAGCCCCGGGCUUAACCUGGGAUGGUCAUUUAGAACUGGCAGACUAGAGUCUUGGAGAGGGGAGUGGAAUUCCAGGUGUAGCGGUGAAAUGCGUAGAUAUCUGGAGGAACAUCAGUGGCGAAGGCGACUCCCUGGCCAAAGACUGACGCUCAUGUGCGAAAGUGUGGGUAGCGAACAGG